rnacentral:rRNA from 1 species
GACAGAGGGUGCAAACGUUGUUCGGAAUUACUGGGCGUAAAGCGCGUGUAGGCUGCUUGGAAAGUCGGAUGUGAAAGCCCUGGGCUCAACCUAGGAAGUGCAUUCGAAACUUCUGAGCUUGAGUAUCGGAGAGGAAGGCGGAAUUCUCGGUGUAGAGGUGAAAUUCGUAGAUAUCGAGAGGAACACCGGUGGCGAAGGCGGCCGUUCUGGA